UGAAGCGGGAAAAGCUCAAAUUUAAAAUCUGGCGGUCUUUGGCCGUCCGAGUUGUAGUCUGGAGAAGUGCUUUCCGCGCUGGACCGUGUAUAAGUCUCUUGGAACAGAGCGUCAUAGAGGGUGAGAAUCCCGUCUUUGACACGGACUACCAGUGCUUUGUGAUGCGCUCUCAAAGAGUCGAGUUGUUUGGGAAUGCAGCUCAAAAUGGGUGGUGAAUUCCAUCUAAAGCUAAAUAUUGGCGAGAGACCGAUAGCGAACAAGUACCGUGAGGGAAAGAUGAAAAGCACUUUGGAAAGAGAGUUAAACAGUACGUGAAAUUGCUGAAAGGGAAACGCUUGAAGUCAGUCGCGUUGUCCGGAACUCAGCCUUGCUUUCGCUUGGUGCACUUUCCGGAUGACGGGUCAGCAUCGAUUUUGACCGUCGGAAAAGGGCUGGAGUAAUGUGGCACCUCCGGGUGUGUUAUAGACUCCGGUCGCAUACGGCGGUUGGGAUCGAGGAACGCAGCGCGCCGCAAGGCAGGGGUUCGCCCACUUUCGCGCUUAGGAUGCUGGCAUAAUGGCUUUAAACGACCCGUCUUGAAACACGGACCAAGGAGUCUAACAUACCUGCGAGUGUUUGGGUGGAAAACCCGAGCGCGUAAUGAAAGUGAAAGUUGAGAUCCCUGUCGUGGGGAGCAUCGACGCCCGGACCUGACGUUCUCUGACGGAUCCGCGGUAGAGCAUGUAUGUUGGGACCCGAAAGAUGGUGAACUAUGCCUGAAUAGGGUGAAGCCAGAGGAAACUCUGGUGGAGGCUCGUAGCGAUUCUGACGU
rnacentral:rRNA from 1 species